rnacentral:rRNA from 1 species
UGCGAGCGUUACCCGGAUUUACUGGGCGUAAAGGGCGUGUAGGCGGUCUUUCAAGUCCGAUGCUAAAGACUGGGGCUCAACCCCAGGGGUGCGUUGGAUACUGUGAGGCUAGACGGUCGGAGGGGGUAGCGGAAUUUCCGGAGUAGCGGUGAAAUGCGCAGAUACCGGAAGGAACGCCAAUAGCGAAGGCAGCUACCUGGACGACUUGUGACGCUGAGGCGCGAAAGCGUGGGGAGCAAACCGGAUUAGAUACCCGGGUAGUCCACGCCCUAAACCAUGAGUGCUGGGUGUCCGGCUUCUGCUGGGUGCCGUAGCUAACGCGCUAAGCACUCCGCCUGGGAAGUACGCACGCAAGUGUGAAACUCAAAGGAAUUGACGGGGGCCCGCACAAGCGGUGGAGCAUGUGGUUUAAUUCGAAGCGACGCGAAGAACCUUACCAGGCCUUGACAUGCCCGGAACCCCUCUGAAAGGAGGGGGUGCCCGCAAGGGAGCCGGGACACAGGUGCUGCAUGGCCGUCGUCAGCUCGUGUCGUGAGAUGUUGGGUUAAGUCCCGCAACGAGCGCAACCCCUAUCCCUAGUUGCCAGCAGUUCGGCUGGGCACUCUAUGGAGACUGCCUGCGAAAGCAGGAGGAAGGCGGGGAUGACGUCUGGUCCGCAUGGCCCUUACGGCCUGGGCGACACACGUGCUACAAUGCCAAGGACAGAGCGCUGCUACCUCGCGAGAGGACGCCAAUCGCAAAAACCUUGGCUCAGUUCGGAUUGGAGUCUGC